UACUGUUACUUAAUUGACAUUUUUAACAAGUAAAGAUUUUCCUCUUGUCUCAUUCUGGUAAAAUGUCACCCAUAUCUUAUUUUAUUUUAAUGAAAUUACAGGAUGCACCUGACAAAGUGUUGAAAAGGAAGAUGCCAAACACUGUUCCGUUCCACUUGGAAUCACCCCAUUCGAAGGUGCCAAAACUAAACCAAGAUAGCACUCCUGCUGUCUCGACAUCCUCUCAGGGGAGCAUCCGUAUCAAAGGUGCCAACCAAAAUAGUUUCAGCAGCUUUCCCUCUCAGUUGAGCAAGCCACCAUCAGGAUAUCUACCCUCGACAAGCAUCAGCAAUAAUGUCAAAACAUACACCAAGUCAAAGCUUAUUCUCCCUCUCGACCAAACAAAUCAAAAUGUAUUACCAGUAGCAUCACGCCAACAAAAUCUCCAUCCCCCGCGCCCAUUACUUCCGUACCUAAACCCUUGCCUUUAAAACCAGCUCAAUCCCCUGUAAUCCCAGAGUCAAAGCCUGGUCCAUCGCUGAAGAAAACGAUAAAAGCACCAGCUCCGUCAACACCUGUCAUGAACAGAAUAUUAACACCUAGCAGCAGCUCUGUUCCGGUCGCUUCCUCGACCAAAAUCAUCAUCACAGACAAUGAAGGCAAAGUGCUAGGCACCGUCCCCUCCUCCAGCAUAACUAGUCCUCAAAGUCAGCUGAAUCUUCUUUUCGCAAGUUCUGCGCCUAGCACUGAUGUUCUGUCCAAGAGUACAACCGUGUCGUCGAAUUCCGCAGGGAGUAAUGAUAGCUCGACCAAAGUCAAAAGUGUAGUCAUCCCGAGCAGCAAGUCCGCCACUUGUUACGUCUCUUUGGCAGGACUGAUGUCCUCCCCCGUUCCUGAAAACCAAACUCUAGACGUUGAUCUAAGCGAGGUAGGAGGAGCUUCAUCCGGUGUCUGUGAUACUCAAAAUAUUGGCUCAAAAUCUCAGUUCAAUUUCACUGUUGAACAGGAGCCGAUAGUUGUGAAUGUACCAUCCACGUCCGAUACAUCAUGCAGCAGUUCGUUUAUUCCGAGCUAUUGUUUAUCAACUUCUACAGACGUAAAUGAAGAAGCCACUGAUUUGAAUGAAACGGAUGCUGAAGGGGUCGGCAUAUUGGAUCCAGUCACAGGCGUCUACUCUUUCCCAUUUGAUGAAAAUGAAUCAAAUCAAGAUUCAACCGUUAGUGUAAACUCUCUUCCUAGUUCUCUCGAUCUGACAGAUCAGUUAGACUGUAACUCAAGUACACACAUGUUAGCAGUAUCUCCAGGUUCCGAAUCUGCAAAUGAUUCAUCCUUAUCUCAUAUGGUUGAAGAGACAGUAAUAUCAGAGUGUAAAUUCGACCAGACAGCAUUGGAUGAAAACUGCGAGAACGAAACAGUCAAUGAAUGUGAUAUAAGUAAUAUCUCUGUCACAGAAGUGACUCUGGAAGAAACAUUGGAAUGUUUUGAGGCUGAUGAUACUCAAGGAAUGUAUAGCGAAGAAAUUGUGGAGAAAGACUCGCAGAGCAUGACAGUGUUUUCGAAAACUUGUGAUAUUUUUCCCUAA
rnacentral:lncRNA from 1 species